ensembl:lncRNA
UUCCUUCCUUCAUUCCUUCCAUCCUUCCUUCCUUCCUUCAUUCCUUCCUUCAUUCAUUCCUUCCUUUAUUCCUUCCUUCAUUCAUUCCUUCCUUCAUUUCCCUGGUCCUGAUGUGGAGCCUAUCCCGGGAACACUGGGUGGGACACCAGUCCAUCGCAGUGCACCAUGCACACACACACACACCUUCACACUCAUUUACACCCAAGGGCAAUUUAGUGUAACCAAUCCACACUGUAAAACCGGAUAAGUUAAUUUAACUUUUUAUAUUUAAGUGUAUUUGGCUUAAAGAAAUUGAUUUGUCAACUUUAAAAUUUUGAGGUAAUUAGUUUCCUUGAAUUUUUUUGAGUUAAAUGAAUUUAUCUGGUUUUACAGUGCACCUACUGAUUUUUUUGUUUUUUUUUGGGGGGGGAGGAAACCAGAGAACCUGGAGGAACCUCAGACAGGCACAGGGAGAAGACGUGGAACUCCACACACUCAGCAACCCGAGCUCAGAUUAGACCCGAGGAACCCCGGAGCCAUGAGGCAGCAACGCUAACUGUUGUGCCCCAAUGAUUAUAGUUUAUAACUAUAAAAGAUAGUGCUUACAGUAUCCUGCUCUCUUCCCAUGAUCGGGUCGAGCUCAGCGAUGAGAGCGAAGGUACCCAGAUGACGACAAGAGCACACAGUGUGAGUGCUGUUUUUCUCUGUGUUCUUACAACCACCUUUGAACCACUCAGUUUCCUUCCAGUACACACAGGAGAGAAUGCCUUCAGGGUCCAACUCCUAGUGCGGAAGAAGAGGGAAUCAAAUCAAAUCUGAAAACUGGUUGUGUUUGUCUUAUUGAGAAAAAAAAGAGAGGCUAGGGGAAGGAAUGGCUGCGAUAACGAAAACAGUGUGUCCUCAAAUAUGGUCCAAAUGCAGCUAUCUGGG